UAAAAAAAAUUAUAAUUUUUAUGGCCAAUAAUACUGAUACAUUUUAGGAGCUAGGCGGGUAUACUAUCGAUAGCACGGAGAAUUUUGUGCUACCAAGUUGUUUUUAAUGGUGCGGCUUCCAAACCGACCAUCGGUUCUGUUAGACUUGAUCUACAUUAUUGAAAGUAUUUGGAAACUAAAUUUUAUAAUUUUUUGGCAUCAUUUACCUAUCAAAUGAAUAGUCUAAAAAUGAACGGAUGAAAAUAAAAAUCUCAUAAAAAAUGAUGAUAAAAGACUUGAAUUUAAGAUCAGAGUUAGUGAUCUUACUUGAAAAAAAUUUUCUAUAAAAAUUUCAUUAGAUUUGGAUUGUUUUAUAUCGUUAAAUUCACAAACGCAUCACAUCUAUCAUUAAAAUUGUCAAUUUUGAGACAUUUUGAUCACUAGCCAAAUGAUGUCGAAAAAUUAUGAAAUUUAAUUUCCAAAUACUUUUAAUAGUAUUGAUCAAGUCUAACGGAGCCGAUCGUCGAUUUAGAAGCCGCAUUAUUAAAGACAACUUGGCAGUACGGAGGCCUCCGUGCUAUCAAUAAUAUACCAGCCUAGCUCUAUAUUUUAGACCAAUUUACAUAAAAAAUUUACUAAUUUUGCUAUUUUAUAAAGGUGGACCACUAUUUUGAGUUUUAUAGAUUCGGACCGAAUUUUCAACCAACUGACAAAUAUAUCUUUAUUUCUUUUUCCUUUUUUUUCUUCGUUCUUUUUUUUCUUCUCUCUGACCCUCAUUGCCUCCUCCACCGCCUCUGCGGCCUUCGACGACGGUAAAGAAGGCGGUGCCACCUCCUCUUCCUUCAUGUCCUUCUCCGCCAGC
rnacentral:lncRNA from 1 species